UGUGACGUCGUCUUUGAAAACCGGUCCAGAUGCGGCAUGACGUAAUAUCGAGAAACGACGUUUAAAGUUGCGCCAAGUUUACGCGCGCAGCUUUCUUACACAUGUUUUAAUUAGCAAAAGUUUGACCGUUAAAGUACGACUGCUUGUUACAUGAUUCAUAACAGCCUACUAGAGAAAGAAUAUUUAGACAUCAGACCUGUAAAAAAAUAGUGGUAUUACGCCUGAGGCAAAAUAUUUCGUUCAAAAUCAGUUGUUUCCCCUUCAAUAUGUUUCCGGUUUCGGAUUUUAUCAGGGAAGCGUGUGAAGUUUGCUUUUGUUUAUCUACCUUUUGUUCAACGAUGAAGGGAUCUGAGACUUGUAAUACUGUUUAGUGAUUUGAUAAUAUUCCUUGUUCCUUUGAUGGUUCAUUCCACUACAGCUGGUUCAUAUACCCUACAACAGCCAGGAUAUUGGUCUGCUUACUUUAAGAUCUCAAGAAAAUGUAACAUAUUUUGGAUGUGCUUUGAGGAAUCAGGAAGGCAAGUGUUUCCUCUUGUUUAUGAAAGCAACUCAUUUGGUUAAGGGGAAGACAACUUGUGAGCAUGGUACAUCACUACCUGUAUUGGUAUUCCAUUUUGACAAUGCUGCUAGCUAGAAUAGAAAUAACAUCUUGCUGUGGUAUGGUCUGUGGAGAGUUUUACUAGGAUAUCACAGAUCGACUGAAUAUUCAACAAUGAUCACAGAUCAUGCAAAGUUUGAAUCUGACUUGCACUUUUGAAUUUAGAAGAAUCUGUGGAGGAGGGUGAAUGCAGAGACCUUUAAUAAUACAUGAUAUUGCUGACACAGUGUGCCAGUCAUCAAAGAAAUGUCAUAACAACACAGUUGGUCAACAGUGAUUUAGAUCCUGUCACAUUCUACCAGUGGAGAAAUAUCUUAUCACAAUAUUUGUAACUUUUGAAGAAGAUAACCAAGUAUUACCACAUUAUCAUGUCUGCAGAAACACCUGGAUUGUUAGUCUUAAAAGUGACAGUCCAGUUAACUUACUAAAAUCUACUCCCCCUUGCCAAACAAAUAUUAUUGACUUGGAAUGACACAAGCCUGACAAUGGUACCUGUAUGAACUCAUAAGAGAAUAGUAUUUGUCUGAAAAGUCAAAGGAUUCUGUUUGUCCCAAACCACUUGAACUGAAAUUGGAUUGUCAAGGAUUUUUCUGAGAACUGAAAAAAUGAAGUGAAUAUAAAAGAUAGAAAUUGUUGUUGAAUUCAAACGUUUUAAUAUACAACACUUUAGCCUGUUUUGCUGUUCAUAUAGAUGUGUUUAGCUGUUAAGGUUAAACAUCAAGUAAAGGUUGUAGUUUCAGUUACCUACAUUAAAGUAUUGGCUGGAAAUAAAUAUUUACUUUUCA